UACGGAGGGUGCAAGCGUUAAUCGGAAUAACUGGGCGUAAAGGGCACGCAGGCGGUUAUUUAAGUGAGGUGUGAAAGCCCCGGGCUUAACCUUGGAAUUGCAUUUCAGACUGGGUAACUAGAGUACUUUAGGGAGGGGUAGAAUUCCACGUGUAGCGGUGAAAUGCGUAGAGAUGUGGAGGAAUACCGAAGGCGAAGGCAGCCCCCUGGGAAUGUACUGACGCUCAUGUGCGAAAGCGUGGGGAGCAAAC
rnacentral:rRNA from 1 species